GCCUUAGUACGGCGAGUGAGCGGCAAAAGCUCAAAUUUGAAAUCUGGUACCUUCGGUGCCCGAGUUGUAAUUUGGAGAGGGCAACUUUGGGGCCGUUCCUUGUCUAUGUUCCUUGGAACAGGACGUCAUAGAGGGUGAGAAUCCCGUGUGGCGAGGAGUGCGGUUCUUUGUAAAGUGCCUUCGAAGAGUCGAGUUGUUUGGGAAUGCAGCUCUAAGUGGGUGGUAAAUUCCAUCUAAAGCUAAAUAUUGGCGAGAGACCGAUAGCGAACAAGUACAGUGAUGGAAAGAUGAAAAGAACUUUGAAAAGAGAGUGAAAAAGUACGUGAAAUUGUUGAAAGGGAAGGGCAUUUGAUCAGACAUGGUGUUUUGUGCCCUCUGCUCCUUGUGGGUAGGGGAAUCUCGCAUUUCACUGGGCCAGCAUCAGUUUUGGUGGCAGGAUAAAUCCAUAGGAAUGUAGCUUGCCUCGGUAAGUAUUAUAGCCUGUGGGAAUACUGCCAGCUGGGACUGAGGACUGCGACGUAAGUCAAGGAUGCUGGCAUAAUGGUUAUAUGCCGCCCGUCUUGAACACACGGAACAA
rnacentral:rRNA from 1 species